rnacentral:rRNA from 1 species
AUUGAACGCUGGCGGCAUGCUUUACACAUGCAAGUCGAACGGUAACAGGUCUUCGGAUGCUGACGAGUGGCGAACGGGUGAGUAAUACAUCGGAACGUGCCUAGUAGUGGGGGAUAACUACUCGAAAGAGUAGCUAAUACCGCAUGAGAUCUACGGAUGAAAGCAGGGGACCUUCGGGCCUUGUGCUACUAGAGCGGCUGAUGGCAGAUUAGGUAGUUGGUGGGGUAAAGGCUUACCAAGCCUGCGAUCUGUAGCUGGUCUGAGAGGACGACCAGCCACACUGGGACUGAGACACGGCCCAGACUCCUACGGGAGGCAGCAGUGGGGAAUUUUGGACAAUGGGCGAAAGCCUGAUCCAGCAAUGCCGCGUGCAGGAUGAAGGCCCUCGGGUUGUAAACUGCUUUUGUACGGAACGAAAAGCCUGGGGCUAAUAUCCCCGGGUCAUGACGGUACCGUAAGAAUAAGCACCGGCUAACUACGUGCCAGCAGCCGCGGUAAUACGUAGGGUGCAAGCGUUAAUCGGAAUUACUGGGCGUAAAGCGUGCGCAGGCGGUUUUGUAAGACAGUGGUGAAAUCCCCGGGCUCAACCUGGGAACUGCCAUUGUGACUGCAAGGCUAGAGUGCGGCAGAGGGGGAUGGAAUUCCGCGUGUAGCAGUGAAAUGCGUAGAUAUGCGGAGGAACACCGAUGGCGAAAGCAUCCCCGGGGCUGCACUGACGCUCA